rnacentral:snRNA from 1 species
CUCGGGAGCUUUCCCCGG